rnacentral:sRNA from 1 species
GUCCAGCCCAUGGUAGCUGCUCAGUAAGUGGCCCCAGAUGCUCUUGUGUUUCUGUCUUUUAGGACAAGGUCAGGGAGCUUCAGAACCAGGGCAGAGAUGUGGGCCUGGAGGUGUUGGAUAAUGCCCUGCUAGCUCUGCAAGGUGAGAGGGCUGGGCUGGGGUUGGAGCCAACCUUUGCCUUCCUGGCUUUAUUGACUGCUUAGCACAGAGGCCAUACCAAGAAGAAGGUGUGGAAGGUGUGAUAUUUGUGUGCCAUAAUUUUAAGUUUGGUAUCUUGCCCUCCUCCUACCUACCACAAGGCUCCAUGGGCUAGAGACAAGGGCAUCUUCUCCCACUUGCAGAGUAAGACGUGCUCAGGGCUUGUUCUAGUCCCUGAAUAAGGCUUUAGUCCAGGUUUGAGGGAUGCUGGGACCUGGAUACUUGGUCACUGGCUCCCUGGGCCCAGGCCCCACUGCAGCCCAGGUACUACAGGCCGGCGUGGCAGAUGACCUGAGGAAACUGCCCUUCAUGACCAGUGCUGUGAUGGAGGUGUUUGGCGUGUCUGGCUGCCGUGUGACCCGCUGUGGCUACACAGGAGAGGAUGGUGUGGAGGUACUGUGACUAGUGGCUGCCCCUCGCCCUCUCUGAAGAAGAAUGUGGCGAUGGGUUAUGUGCCCUGCGAGUACAGUCGUCCAGGGACAAUGCUGCUGGUAGAGGUGCGGCGGAAGCAGCAGAUGGCUGUAGUCAGCAAGAUGCCCUUUGUGCCCACAAACUACUAUACCCUCAAGUGAAGCUGGCUCAGGGUGGGGCUGUCCCUUCCAGAAGUUUUGCCCCUACAAGGGGUUAGUCAAGAAGCUGAGGCAGAACUCACUGGGGGUGGGCAGUUAAGGUGGAGGC